rnacentral:rRNA from 1 species
UACGUAGGCAGCGAGCGUUGUUCGGAAUUACUGGGCGUAAAGAGUGUGUAGGCGGUGUUCCCAGUCUGUUGUGAAAUCUCCCGGCUUAACUGGGAGGGUGCAGCGGAAACUAGAAUGCUAGAGGGUGGGAGAGGUAAGCGGAAUUCCUGGUGUAGCGGUGAAAUUCGUAGAUAUCGAGAGGAACACCGGUGGCGAAGGCGGCCUUCUGGACAGUGACUGACGCUGAGACGCGAAAGCGUGGGGAGCAAACAGG